rnacentral:rRNA from 1 species
UACGAAGGGGGCUAGCGUUGCUCGGAAUCACUGGGCGUAAAGGGUGCGUAGGCGGUCUGUCACGUCGGGAGUGAAAACACGGGGCUUAACCCCGUACCUGCUUCCGAUACGGGCAGACUAGAGGUAUGCAGGGGAGAACGGAAUUCCUGGUGUAGCGGUGAAAUGCGCAGAUAUCAGGAGGAACAUCGGUGGCGAAGGCGGUCUGCUGGGCCGUGCCGACGCUGAGGCGCGACAGCGUGGGGAGCAAACAGG